UCAACAAAAAUGUUUACGGGCUUCGG
rnacentral:sRNA from 1 species